AUUCUUCCAUUGAAAUGUGAUUUAGUAUUUAGUCCAUUUAGUUAAAAAAAUAAAGUUGUCGUAUACUGUUGUGCAUCUCCAUUUAACUUACUUCUGAGCAAUACGCAUACAUUUUUUGUUGAUUUUUGACAGUAUAAUUAUAUAUACAAUGUGUUGUUCUGUUAAUUGUAGUAACGCGCUAGGACUGUUACAAUGUCUUGAGAGAUCUGUGUCAAUUUUAUCAAGCUUUAUAGUCAUAGGCACAAUAAAAAGCUUACUCAAUAUG
rnacentral:misc_RNA from 1 species